rnacentral:rRNA from 1 species
UACGUAGGCAGCAAGCGUUGUUCGGAGUUACUGGGCGUAAAGGGUGCGUAGGCGGCUUUUAAGUUUGGUGUGAAAUCUCCCGGCUCAACUGGGAGGGUGCGCCGAAUACUGAGAGGCUAGAGUGUGGGAGAGGAAAGUGGAAUUCCUGGUGUAGCGGUGAAAUGCGUAGAUAUCAGGAGGAACACCGGUGGUGUAAACGGCUUCUGGACCAUAACUGACGCUGAUGCACGAAAGCGUGGGUAGCAAACAGG